rnacentral:rRNA from 1 species
GAUGAACGCUGGCGGCGUGCCUAAUACAUGCAAGUCGAGCGAAUGGAUUAAGAGCUUGCUCUUAUGAAGUUAGCGGCGGACGGGUGAGUAACACGUGGGUAACCUGCCCAUAAGACUGGGAUAACUCCGGGAAACCGGGGCUAAUACCGGAUAACAUUUUGAACCGCAGGGUUCGAAAUUGAAAGGCGGCUUCGGCUGUCACUUAGGGCUGGACCCGCGUCGCAUUAGCUAGUUGGUGAGGUAACGGCUCACCAAGGCAACGAUGCGUAGCCGACCUGAGAGGGUGAUCGGCCACACUGGGACUGAGACACGGCCCAGACUCCUACGGGAGGCAGCAGUAGGGAAUCUUCCGCAAUGGACGAAAGUCUGACGGAGCAACGCCGCGUGAGUGAUGAAGGCUUUCGGGUCGUAAAACUCUGUUGUUAGGGAAGAACAAGUGCUAGUUGAAUAAGCUGGCACCUUGACGGUACCUAACCAGAAAGCCACGGCUAACUACGUGCUAGCAGCCGCAGUAA